UACGGGGGGAGCAAGCGUUGUUCGGAUUUACUGGGCGUAAAGGGCGCGUAGGCGGCGUGACAAGUCACUUGUGAAAUCUCCGGGCUUAACUCGGAACGGUCAAGUGAUACUGUCGUGCUAGAGUACAGAAGGGGCAACUGGAAUUCUCGGUGUAGCGGUGAAAUGCGCAGAUAUCAGGAAGAACACCGGUGGCGAAGGCGGGUCUCUGGGCCGAUACUGACGCUGAGGAGCGAAAGCGUGGGGAGCGAACAGG
rnacentral:rRNA from 1 species